CCUACGGGAGGCUGCAGUGGGGAAUAUUGCACAAUGGGCGCAAGCCUGAUGCAGCCAUGCCGCGUGUGUGAAGAAGGCCUUCGGGUUGUAAAGCACUUUCAGCGGGGAGGAAGGCGUUAAGGUUAAUAACCUUGUCGAUUGACGUUACCCGCAGAAGAAGCACCGGCUAACUCCGUGCCAGCAGCCGCGGUAAUACGGAGGGUGCAAGCGUUAAUCGGAAUUACUGGGCGUAAGCGCACGCAGGCGGUCUGUCAAGUCGGAUGUGAAAUCCCCGGGCUCAACCUGGGAACUGCAUUCGAAACUGGCAGGCUAGAGUCUUGUAGAGGGGGGUAGAAUUCCAGGUGUAGCGGUGAAAUGCGUAGAGAUCUGGAGGAAUACCGGUGGCGAAGGCGGCCCACUGGACAAAGACUGACGCUCAGGUGCGAAAGCGUGGGGAGCAAACAGGAUUAGAUACCCGAGUAGUC
rnacentral:rRNA from 1 species